UACGAAGGGGCUAGCGUUGCUCGGAAUCACUGGGCGUAAAGCGCACGUAGGCGGAUUGUUAAGUCAGGGGUGAAAUCCUGGAGCUCAACUCCAGAACUGCCUUUGAUACUGGCGAUCUUGAGUCCGGGAGAGGUGAGUGGAACUGCGAGUGUAGAGGUGAAAUUCGUAGAUAUUCGCAAGAACACCAGUGGCGAAGGCGGACUCACUGGCCCGGUACUGACGCUGAGGAGCGAAA
rnacentral:rRNA from 1 species